AUACGGAGGGGGCUAGCGUUGUUCGGAAUUACUGGGCGUAAAGCGCACGUAGGCGGACCGGAAAGUCAGAGGUGAAAUCCCAGGGCUCAACCUUGGAACUGCCUUUGAAACUAUCGGUCUGGAGUUCGAGAGAGGUGAGUGGAAUUCCGAGUGUAGAGGUGAAAUUCGUAGAUAUUCGGAGGAACACCAGUGGCGAAGGCGGCUCACUGGCUCGAUACUGACGCUGUGGUGCGAAAGCGUGGGGAGCAAACAGGAUUAGAAACCCUAGUAGUCC
rnacentral:rRNA from 1 species